UAGGGAAUCUUCCACAAUGGACGCAAGUCUGAUGGAGCAACGCCGCGUGAGUGAAGAAGGUUUUCGGACCGUAAAGCUCUGUUGUUGGUGAAGAAGGAUAGAGGUAGUAACUGGCCUUUAUUUGACGGUAAUCAACCAGAAAGUCACGGCUAACUACGUGCCAGCAGCCGCGGUAAUACGUAGGUGGCAAGCGUUGUCCGGAUUUAUUGGGCGUAAAGCGAGCGCAGGCGGAAGAAUAAGUCUGAUGUGAAAGCCCUCGGCUUAACCGAGGAAUUGCAUCGGAAACUGUUUUCUUGAGUGCAGAAGAGGAGAGUAGAACUCCAUGUGUAGCGGUGGAAUGCGUAGAUAUAUGGAAGAAUACCAGUGGCGAAGGCGGCUCUCUGAUCUGCAACUGACGCUGAGGCUCGAAAGCAUGGGUAGCGAACAGGAUUAGAUACCCUGGUAGUCCAUGCCGUAAACGAUGAGUGCUAAGUGUUGGGAGGCU
rnacentral:rRNA from 1 species